rnacentral:rRNA from 1 species
UAGGGANUCUUCGGCAAUGGGGGCAACCCUGACCGAGCAACGCCGCGUGAGUGAAGAAGGUUUUCGGAUCGUAAAGCUCUGUUGUAAGAGAAGAACGAGUGUGAGAGUGGAAAGUUCACACUGUGACGGUAACUUACCAGAAAGGGACGGCUAACUACGUGCCAGCAGCCGCGGUAAUACGUAGGUCCCGAGCGUUAUCCGGAUUUAUUGGGCGUAAAGCGAGCGCAGGCGGUUAGAUAAGUCUGAAGUUAAAGGCUGUGGCUUAACCAUAGUACGCUUUGGAAACUGUUUAACUUGAGUGCAGAAGGGGAGAGUGGAAUUCCAUGUGUAGCGGUGAAAUGCGUAGAUAUAUGGAGGAACACCGGUGGCGAAAGCGGCUCUCUGGUCUGUAACUGACGCUGAGGCUCGAAAGCGUGGGGAGCAAACAGGAUUAGAUACCCUGGUAGUCCACGCCGUAAACGAUGAGUGCUAGGUGUUGGGUCCUUUCCGGGACUCAGUGCCGCAGUUAACGCAUUAAGCACUCCGCCUGGGGAGUACGACCGCAAGGUUG